ensembl:lncRNA
UUCGUAUUACAGACUACUCAUCCCAGGUUUAGAGCACAACAAAAGUCCCCAAGUACUCCAAACUCAGCGAUAUCUGAUCGCAGGUAUCACAGUGAGACUGGACUCCAGUGUGCUUCUUUCUAAUGCAGGGAGAGUGUAGAGCAGCAAUAGCAGAACACGUGUAUGGAAAGCAGGCCUUGUGUUCACGUGUCCUUUGGGAGGGCAGCGAUGAUAUUUGAAUCAAAAAUUGUUGGGUUAGCAGAUGGAGAUGGAAACCCUUUUGGAGGUUUCCUUUACAGGUCUGUGAUGUUAAAGUCGUCCGUUGUGUAGCAAAGGCUUUUUCUGCAACAACGCAUGUGGCUGCUGCAGAGGGUAAACUUUGUACUUUUUCCUCCUCCCAGAACGGCAAGGGGUGAGCAGAAAAGUCUGCAAGUGCCUUCCGCUGGAAACGGACCCUUCCCGAGUAGAGAUAUAUGGGGAGGAAAACCUGUCUGCCGCAGGGGAAGCAUCCUCAGUUCUUCUGCCUUCCAAGAAGCAAGCUCGUCGUUAUCCCAGCUUCAGAGCCCCCUUGACAGAAUCUUACCUGUCUCCAGGUGUUCCCUUUCUGGACACCACCAAAGCCUGGAACCUGGGUAGCUACCGAGANGAGGCCGAGGGCGAGAACCGCUUUUCUAUGUGUGCUGCCCAAGUAGCGUACGACGAGCUGCAGCAGUACACUGAAGGAUCGGGGCAGACAAUAAUGGCGUAAGUGCGGAGAGUAGCUAACUGGCGUAAUGAAAAGCUGGGUCCCUGUGAAGCUGUGUAUUUAAACACUGGUUGGACACUUGCGAUUGGCCGAAGGCUAGAAGGCCGGAAGGGUUGGUUUUGUCUACUGACUCACUUCUGCGAGCCUGGGGCGCCCGUCUUCUAAAGCUCUCGCUCCUCCUGGGCCGUAUGCUCCCAUUUGGCUGUGCCUUGCUACUUUCACAAGGAUCAGCAGACGUGUCAGGAAUAGCAGCCGUGAAAAGAGUUUCUGUCCCUCCUGGUAAGCGGUGACUGCUAUCUGUUGUGGCUGGCAGGGCGGAUGGCAAGUCAGCUAAAAGGAAACGCGUCAGAAUAGGGAGAACUAACCUUAGGUGAGACAGUGUUGGGCGGCGAUUUUAUGCAAACGGGUCAGAAUAGGCAGAGUUAACAACGUAGGCGAGACAGUCCUGGGCAGCGAUUUUAGGCAAACUCACAGGAAAGUUGACUUCCCUAAACGUAAUGGCAUUUGCAUACCUUUGCCAGUCGUGAAAUGAAACAGGCAAGGAGGAGAAAAGGAGAAUGGACUCAGGCUUGGAUCGACUGGGUUUAAUGGGGUGCUGCCCACUUUGCCCUCCUGGGCCAGUGACGCUGCUGCUGAUCUAAAUCACGCUGAAGCCUAGUAAACAGUUUAGUUUUAGCCUCUGUGCCACUGCUGCCUUCCCCUGAGAGCAAACCCAGCAGCAGUCAACUGAGGCCAUGCCUCCACUCUACCAUGUAGGUACCUCCAGGGCGGUGCUGUUUGGAUGCCGUGAAUGGGGACCCUCGCUGCCACCUCAGGAGGAGGAGGAGCAGGGCAUCUUGGGUGCAGACCAGGAGUUUUC